rnacentral:rRNA from 1 species
UAUGUCCUACGGGGGGCAGCAGUGAGGAAUAUUGGUCAAUGGGAGAGAUCCUGAACCAGCCAAGCCGCGUGAGGGAAGACGGCCCUAUGGGUUGUAAACCUCUUUUGUCGGAGAACAAAACCCGGGACGUGUCCCGGACUGCGUGUAUCCGAAGAAAAAACAUCGGCUAACUCCGUGCCAGCAGCCGCGGUAAUACGGAGGAUGCGAGCGUUAUCCGGAUUUAUUGGGUUUAAAGUGUGCGUAGGCGGUCCGUUAAGUCAGCGUUAAAAUUGCGGGGCUCAACACCGUCGAGCCGUUGCAACUGG